AGUGAACGCUGGCGGUAGGCCUAACACAUGCAAGUCGAACGGCAGCACAGAAAGAGCUUGCUCUUACGGGUGGCGAGUGGCGGACGGGUGAGGAAUACAUCGGAAUCUACUUUUUCGUGGGGGAUAACGUAGGGAAACUUACGCUAAUACCGCAUACGACCUACGGGUGAAAGCAGGGGAUCUUCGGACCUUGCGCGAUUGAAUGAGCCGAUGUCGGAUUAGCUAGUUGGCGGGGUAAAGGCCCACCAAGGCGACGAUCCGUAGCUGGUCUGAGAGGAUGAUCAGCCACACUGGAAAUGAGGCACGGUCCAGACUCCUACGGGAGGCAGCAGUGGGGAAUAUUGGACAAUGGGCGCAAGCCUGAUCCAGCCAUACCGCGUGGGUGAAGAAGGCCUUCGGGUUGUAAAGCCCUUUUGUUGGGAAAGAAAAGCAGCAGGUUAAUACCCCGCUGUUCUGACGGUACCCAAAGAAUAAGCACCGGCUAACUUCGUG
rnacentral:rRNA from 1 species